GAGUUUGAUCCUGGCUCAGGAUGAACGCUGGCGGCGUGCCUAACACAUGCAAGUCGAGCGAAGCGCUAUACUUGAAUUCUUCGGAAGGAAAGUAUUGUGACUGAGCGGCGGACGGGUGAGUAACGCGUGGGUAACCUGCCUCAUACAGGGGGAUAACAGUUAGAAAUGACUGCUAAUACCGCAUAAGACCACAGCACCGCAUGGUGCGGGGGUAAAAACUCCGGUGGUAUGAGAUGGACCCGCGUCUGAUUAGCUAGUUGGUGGGGUAAUGGCUUACCAAGGCAACGAUCCGUAGCCGACCUGAGAGGGUGAUCGGCCACACUGGGACCGAGACACGGCCCAAACUCCUACGGGAGGCAGCAGUGGGGAAUAUUGCACAAUGGGGGAAACCCUGAUGCAGCGACGCCGCGUGAGUGAUGAAGUAUUUCGGUAUGUAAAGCUCUAUCAUCAGGGAAGAACAUGACUGUACCUGACUG
rnacentral:rRNA from 1 species